GUUGACGCGGGGGCAGCGGCCAUGGUAAUCUGGUGGUGGGAAGGGGUGAAUGGAAGCAGUGGGGGUAAAGCGCGCGUAGGCGGCCCGGUAAUUCCGCUGUAAAAGUCCAGGGCUCAACCCUGGAAAGCCGGUGGAUACUGGCGGGCUAGAGGCCGGAAGAGGCGAGUGGAAUUCCUGGUGUAGCGGUGGAAUGCGCAGAUAUCAGGAGGAACACCGAUGGCGAAGGCAGCUCGCUGGGACGGUACUGACGCUGAGGCGCGAAAGCGUGGGGAGCGAACAGGAUUAGAUACCCUGGUAGUC
rnacentral:rRNA from 1 species